GUGUUGUAAGGAAGGAGAGAAUGUUCGCACUCCUCUAGACAAGGAUGGAAGAGGCCCUCAGGCCUAAUAAUACGCAUACGGUUAAGGCAUUGCCACUUACUUCGGGGCAUCUAACCAUUGUUUUUU
ensembl:snRNA